UACGUAGGGGGCAAGCGUUGCCCGGAUUCAUUGGGCGUAAAGAGCGUGUAGGCGGCCAGGUAGGUCGGUUGUGAAAACUGGAGGCUCAACCUUCAGAGGUCGACCGAAACCAUCUGGCUAGAGUCCGGGAGAGGAGAGUGGAAUUCCUGGUGUAGCGGUGAAAUGCGCAGAUAUCAGGAGGAACACCUAUUGCGAAGGCAGCUCGCUGGGACGUAACUGACGCUGAGACGCGAAAGCGUGGGGAGCAAACAGG
rnacentral:rRNA from 1 species